AACCAGACUCCUACGGGAGGCAGCAGUGGGGAAUAUUGCACAAUGGGGGGAACCCUGAUGCAGCGACGCCGCGUGGGUGAAGGAGCGUUUCGGCGCGUAAAGCCCUAUCGGCAGGGAAGAAGGAGGACGGUACCUGACUAAGAAGCCCCGGCUAACUACGUGCCAGCAGCCGCGGUAAUACGUAGGGGGCAAGCGUUAUCCGGAUUUAUUGGGUUUAAAGGGUGCGCAGGCGGAUUUUUAAGUCAGCGGUCAAAUCGGGGGGCUCAACCCCAUCCAGCCGUUGAAACUGGGGAUCUAGAGUGUGCGAGAGGUAUGCGGAAUGCGUGGUGUAGCGGUGAAAUGCAUAGAUAUCACGCAGAACCCCGAUUGCGAAGGCAGCAUACCGGUGCACAACUGACGCUCAGGCACGAAAGCGUGGGUAUCGAACAGGAUUAGAUACCCUAGUA
rnacentral:rRNA from 1 species